UAAAUAGGUCCAACUCCAGUGGUGUGAAAAAAGUGAAGCAUCUAACUUGGCCGACCAAAAGAAUAAGCUGCAGUCAGUAAUCUUCUUGAUUGUUUAAGGAUUCUAAGAAAUGAGCCAACCUCCUUCCUGUACUAUUUUCAAGAUAAGCUACGACAAGUAAUCUUGGGCUUUUGUCAAAAGGAAUCUAAGUGUGCCGAACAUCCAAAUUAAUUCGGCAUUGCGACACUAUCAAAUCCAAGGGCUAUGGGGCUAAUAAAAUAAUAAAUUAGGUAGCCUUCUAUGUACUAAUCAUGUUGAAAAACUCUGUGGCUAGAAAAAAGAAGAUUAUCCGGUGUAUUCUGAAAAUUAUUAUUUUUGACUUUUUUUAGAUAUAUUCGUACCCGACAUGUAUGACACAUCAAAAUCUAACUUAAUCAAGAUUUGUCAAAAACAAAUAUUUUUUUAAAAUAGAAACUUAUUUAUAAUAUAAGUAUUUAGUUAUAAACAUCUGAAGAUAUAUUAUUUAGGGUUAGAAUCAGAAUCUUUGAUCACCAUGUAGAGUAAUAUGGCGGUUGGUAUAAGCCUCUGUUUACAAACUCAAAAUGAAUAUAAUUAAAUAAGAUAAAUUUUUGUAUAUAAAAUCUUAGUAAAAGUUUUUAUUUGAUAUAAUUUGAUCUACAUGCAUAUGUAUAUAUGAUAAGUUUAAUUAGAAUAGCAUAGGUAUACGAUAAUGAUAGUAUGCG
rnacentral:lncRNA from 1 species